AACGAACGCUGGCGGCAGGCCUAACACAUGCAAGUCGAACGCUGUGGCAAUACAGAGUGGCAGACGGGUGAGUAACGCGUGGGAAUCUACCCAAUGGUACGGAAUAACUCAGGGAAACUUGAGCUAAUACCGUAUGUGCCCGAAAGGGGAAAGAUUUAUCGCCAUUGGAUGAGCCCGCGUCGGAUUAGCUAGUUGGGGGGGUAACGGCCCACCAAGGCGACGAUCCGUAGCUGGUCUGAGAGGAUGACCAGCCACACUGGGACUGAGACACGGCCCAGACUCCUACGGGAGGCAGCAGUGGGGAAUAUUGGACAAUGGGCGCAAGCCUGAUCCAGCCAUGCCGCGUGAGUGAUGAAGGCCCUAGGGUUGUAAAGCUCUUUCGACGGGGACGAUAAUGACGGUACCCGUAGAAGAAGCCCCGGCUAACUUCGUGCCAGCCGCCGCCGUAAAAC
rnacentral:rRNA from 1 species